rfam:Clostridium sp. FS41 CLFS41_contig000006, whole genome shotgun sequence.
GGCGACGUAGCCAAGUGGUAAGGCACGGGUCUGCAACACCCUCACCACCGGUCCGAAUCCGGUCGUCGCCU